GACGAACGCUGGCGGCGUGCUUAACACAUGCAAGUCGUACGGUAAGGCCCUUUCGGGGGUACACGAGUGGCAAACGGGGGAGUAACACGUGAGUAACCUUCCCACAACUUUGGGAUAACGCUAGGAAACUGGUGCUAAUACUGGAUAUGUGCUCCUGCUGCAUGGUGGGGGUUGGAAAGCUCCGGCGGUUUUGGAUGGACUCGCGGCCUAUCGGCUUGUUGGUGGGGUAGUGGCCUACCAAGGCGGCGACGGGUAGCCGGCCUGGGGGGGUGACCGGCCACCUUGGGACUGACAUACGGCCCAGACUCCUACGGGAGGCAGCAGUGGGGAAUAUUGCACAAUGGGCGCAAGCCUGAUGCAGCAGCGCCGCGUGCGGGAUGACGGCCUUCGGGUUGUAAACCGCUUUCAGCAGGGACGAAGCUUUUUGUGACGGUACCUGCAGAAGAAGCACCGGCUAACUACGUG
rnacentral:rRNA from 1 species